CAUUACAGAGUUUCGUACUCCAAACCCUUUGUGAACAUACCUGUUUUCGUUGCUUCGGCAGGUGAAGGCGGACGGCCUCCGGGCCUCCCCCGCCGCCGCCGGGUCCGGGAAACCGGCCGGGUGGGCCUGCCGGAGGGCACAGACUCUUGUAUUAAACGUACCUCUCUGAGUUAUCUUUUACAAACAAGUAAAAACUUUCAACAACGGAUCUCUUGGUUCUGGCAUCGAUGAAGAACGCAGCGAAAUGCGAUAAGUAAUGUGAAUUGCAGAAUUCAGUGAAUCAUCGAAUCUUUGAACGCACAUUGCGCCCGCCAGUAUUCUGGCGGGCAUGCCUGUCCGAGCGUCAUUUCAACCCUCAGGCCCUGGUUGCCUGGUGUUGGGGCGCCGCGCACCCCUAGCGGGCGCGGGCCCCGAAAGUCAGUGGCGGGCUCGCCAGGACUCCGAGCGCAGUAAUAUUGCCUCGCUGCGGAGCGCCUGGUGGGUUACCCAGCCGUAAAACACCCCAAAUUCUAAAGGUUGACCUCGGAUCAGG
rnacentral:rRNA from 1 species